rnacentral:rRNA from 1 species
GUGAUCUCUACUUGUAAGUUAUCGUAUAGGGAUGGUCUUGCGCGACCAUUAGCUUGUUGUGCUGGGGUAACGGCCCACCAAGGCUGUGAUGGUUAGCCGGCUUAGGAGGGUAGAUCGGCCACAUUGGGACUGAGAUACGGCCCAUACUCCUACGGGAGGCAGCAGUAGGGAAUUUUGCGCAAUGGACGAAAGUCUGACGCAGGAACGCCGCCUGAGCGAUGAAGGUUUUCGGAUUGUAAAGCUCUGUCGAGUGGGAAGAAAACUCUCCGGGAUAAUACCCCGGAGACUUGACGGUACCACUCGAGGAAGCCCCGGCUAAAUACUUGCCAGUAGCCGCGGUGAUACGUAUGGGGCAUGCGCUGUUCGGAAUCACUGGGCGUAAAGGGAGUGUACGCGGAAAUGGUAAGUUAGAAGUGUAAUCCACGGGCUUAACCCGUGACUCGCUUUUAACACUGCUUGCCUUGAGUAUGGGAGACGGAGAUGGCAUUCCAGGUGUACCGGCGGAAUGCGUAGAUAUCUGGAAGAACACCAGUAGCGAAGGCGGUCUCCUGGCCCAAUACUGACGCUGAGGCUCGAAAGCGUGGGGAGCGAACAGGAUUAGAUACCCUGGUAGUCCACACCGUAAACGAUGGACACUAGAUGAUGGCCUCUUCGGGGGUCGGAGUCGUAGCUAACGCGUUAAGUGUCCCGCCUGGGAAGUACGCUCGCAAGAGUGAAACUCAAAGGAAUUGACGGGGGCCCGCACAAGCGGUGGAGCAUGUGCUUUAAUUCGAUGCAACGCGAAGAACCUUACGUGGACUUGACAUGGGGGUGAAAGUUUUCAGAGAUGAAAACCCUUCCUUUGGGAACGCCCUACACAGGUACAGCAUGGUUGUCGUCAGCUCGUGUCGUGAGAUGUUGGGACAAGUCCCGCAACGAGCGCAACCCUGGUCCAUAGUUGCCAGCGGGUCAUGCCGGGAACUCUAGGGAGACUGCCUGGUACAACCAGGAGGAAGGUGGGGACGACGUCAAAUCAUCAUGGCCCUUACGUCCAGGGCUAGACACGUGCUACAAUGGCCGGUACAGAGGGCUGCAAGACUGCGAAGUCAAGCCAAUCCCUAAGAACCGGUCUCAGUUCGGAUUGGAGUCUGUCAAUUCGACUCCAUGAAGGUGGAAUC